CGGACAGUAUUAUUCUUGAGAGAGAUUUAGCCACGGUGAUCGAGUAGAUCCAGGGUCUAGGUUGUGCUGCCAGUGGGAUGUGGCUGUUUCAUGACAUCUGUAGUUUUUGGGUGAGUGCGCCUCCCAUCAGGCUAUUUAUGUUUACAGAGAAGUAAAUAGUAUUGCGGAUUGGGUGGCAUUCUAUAUGGCUCAUCACUCCAGCUAUUUUUUCUGGAAGAACCACGUUUUGUUCCAUAUUCCUUACAAUUUUUUUCUUCUUUCUGACUUUAUAGGCUAUACCCAUACCCGUUGUACCUAAGUCGCGGAUGUA
rnacentral:lncRNA from 1 species